GAUUUCAUCUGAAAAAGUCAUCAAUAACAAAGUUGUAUAACUCAUCAAGAUCUAUAACUUCUAUUUUGGUCAUUUCUUCUUCCAACAAAGUGAUUUGCAAUAUUUUUUUACAAAAUGUACAUCUCUUAUAUAGUUUUAUAAAAACUAUAUAAGAGAUGUUUAUUUUGUGAACAAUCUUACAAAUAACUUUGUGGGAUGAAGAAAUGAUCAAAAUAAAAGUUAUAUAUCUUGAUGAGUUAUACAACUUUAUUGUUGAUGACUUUUUCAGUUGAAAAC
rnacentral:pre_miRNA from 2 species